rnacentral:rRNA from 1 species
GGACGAAAGCGUGGGUAGCAAACCGGAUUAGAUACCCGGGUAGUCCAUGCCGUAAACGAUGAAUACUGGGUCUUCGGGGAAUCGACCCCCUGUGGACCGAAGCUAACGCGUUAAGUAUUCCGCCUGGGGAGUACGGUCGCAAGACUAAAACUCAAAGGAAUUGACGGGGGCCCGCACAAGCAGCGGAGCGUGUGGUUUAAUUCGAUGGUAAACGAAGAACCUUACCUAGGUUUGACAUAUAAGUAGUACUGACCCGAAAGGUGAUGGACCCGCAAGGGAGCUUAUACAGGUGCUGCAUGGUUGUCGUCAGCUCGUGCCGUGAGGUGUUGGGUUAAGUCCCGCAACGAGCGCAACCCUCGUGGAUAGUUGUUUUCUUUAUCCAGACUGCUUUUAUAAGAGGAAGGUGGGGACGACGUCAAAUCAUCAUGGCUCUUACACCUAGGGCUACACACACGCUACAAUGGACAGUACAGACGGUUGCUAAGUCGCAAGAUGGAGCCAAUCCGAUAAAGCUGUCCCCAAUUGGGAUUGUAGGCUGAAACUCGCCUGCAUGAACCUGGAGUUGCUAGUAACCGCAGAUCAGAAUGCUGCGGUGAAUACGUUCCCGGGCCUUGUACACACCGCCCGUCACGUCAUGGAAGUUUGAAACACUUGAAGUCGCUGGGCUUACCUUUUAGGAGGCAGGCGCCGAGAGUGGGGCAAAUGACUGGGACGAAGUCGUAACAAGGUAGCUGUACCGGAAGGUGCGGCUG